rnacentral:rRNA from 1 species
GCUCGGAAACUAGUGGCGAACGGCUGAGUAACGCGUAGGUGACCUACCCCGUAGUGUGGAAUAACUGCCCGAAAGGGUAGCUAAUACCGCAUGUUGAGCCGACAUCAAUGUCGUCUCCAAAGCAGAAAUGCGCUAUGGGCGGGGCCUGCGUUCGAUUAGCUAGUUGGUGAGGUAAUGGCUCACCAAGGCUACGAUAGGUAGGGGGCCUGAGAGGGUGACCCCCCACACUGGUACUGAGACACGGCCCAGACUCC